rnacentral:rRNA from 1 species
UUUAAAUAGCCGCAGUAUUUUGACUGUGCGAAGGUAGCAUAAUCAUUUGUCUUUUAAUUGAAGGCUUGUAUGAAUGGUCUGAUGAGGGAAUGACUUUCUUUAUACUAAAUAUUGAAUUUAAUUUUUCAGUCAAAAAGCUGAGAUUUUUUAAAGGGACGAGAAGACCCUAUAGAAUUUUACCUUUAUUUUAAUUAAAAAAUAUUUGGUAAAUAUAUACUUUUAAUUAAUUAUAAGGUUUUGUUGGGGUGACAUUAGGAUGACUUUAACUCCUAUACUUUAUAUAUUGUUUAUUUACAUUUAAGAGAUCCUUUAUUUUGGAUAAAUAGAUUAAAUUACCUUAGGGAUAACAGCGUUAUUUUUCUGGAGAGUUCAUAUCGAUAGAGGAGUUUGCGACCUCGAUGUUGGAUUAAAAUUAGAUUUAAGUGCAGAAGCUUAAU